rnacentral:rRNA from 1 species
CAGUCGCCACGGUAACACGUAGGGUGCGGGCGUUAAUCGGGAUUACUGGGCGUAAAGCGUGCGCAGGCGGCUUUGCAAGACAGAUGUGAAAUCCCCGGGCUCAACCUGGGAACUGCAUUUGUGACUGCAAGGCUAGAGUACGGUAGAGGGGGAUGGAAUUCCGCGUGUAGCAGUGAAAUGCGUAGAUAUGCGGAGGAACACCAAUGGCGAAGGCAAUCCCCUGGACCUGUACUGACGCUCAUGCACGAAAGCGUGGGGAGCAAACAGGAUUAGAUACCCCCGUAGUCCCUGUCUCUUAUAC